UCCCGCCGGGCGGCAGCGGCACCCCCGGCCGGCUGCCCGGCGGCCCCGUUCGGACGCCGGGGUUCGACGCCCCGGGCGUGCC
rnacentral:tRNA from 1 species